rnacentral:ncRNA from 1 species
GUCAGCCCAGGGUCAAGUUUGGAAGUGGUCAUCCAAGGUAAGUGCGGACAAAGUCCGCCGCCACUUCUCCAAAAAGGGCUUGACCUUAGGGUGGAGGA